CCUUCAGGACCCGCCUCAGGGGGCACCGCGGCGGCUUGGGGACCACUUGGAGCCCCGUCCUGGGGAGAAAACAGCUCACGUCUAUGGCCCUGACUGCUUAGGCGGGAGCUGCGUGCAGCUCAGCUUCUCCGGGGCAUUUUUUUCUACACGGUUAUUGCUCUGUCACCCAGGCUGGAGUUCAGCAGUGCGAUCUUGGCUCAUUGCAGCCUUGAACCUCCCGGGCUCAAGUGAUCCUCCCUCCUCAACCUCCCAAGUAGCUGGGACUACAGCUGGGUGAGCUAUGAACAGGCCAACUGCAAGGGCGAGCAGUUUGUGUUUGAGAAGGGCGAGUACGCCCACUGGGACUGGUGGACCAGCAGCCAGAGGACAGACUCAGCAGCCUGAGGCCCAUCAAAGUGGACAGCCAAGAGCACAAGAUCAUCCUCUAUGAAAACCCCAACUUCACCGGGAAGAAGAUGGAAAUCAUAGAUGACGAUGUACCCAGCUUCCACGCCCAUGGCUACCAGGAGAAGGUGUCAUCUGUGUGGGUGCGGAGUGGCAUGUGGGUUGGCUACUAGUACCCUGGCUACCGUGGGCUGCAGUACCUGCUGGAGAAGGGAGACUACAAGGACAGCAGCGACUUUGGGGCCCGUCACCCUCAGGUACAGUCCGUGCGCUGCAUCCACGACAUGCAGGG
rnacentral:lncRNA from 1 species